ACAGGCACUGGAAAUGUUUGGAGAUUACUGUGGGCAACUUGAUUCAGGGCUGUCUGGAAAAAGUAGUGGUUGGCCUAGAAGACAAACUGCCUUCCAACCGCAAUCCCUUACCAUGGCUGAUGCAGUGUGCUUGGUAAGCGGGUGCAUGGUGACCUCCGGAGAUAGCAGCCAGCAGCAAAACCACAGCUGGACCUGCAGUGAUCCAGCACAACAAAAAGGGCUGGCACUUUGGAUUGCAACAUUACUGAAACGAAAAGCGUGAACGCUACAGGAAUUUCUGCUCUCUGGAAAAAUGUUAUUUUUGGAUUCUUCAGGAAGGCGUGCAUAUAAAACCACUGGUUCCCUGGUAUUGUCACCAGGUAUCUGCUGCAGUCAAUGCUCCACCAGUCUCGUUCUCAUCUUGAUUUACGCUGGGAUAGCCUGAUGGGCCGUGGGAAGCCUUCUGCCGUUUCCAGACAACAGGACAGCUUUGCAUCCCUGUGCCAGGAGUCUCAGAGGCUGCACCAUCCCUGGACUGGCUGAAUGUGACUUCUCCUCCCCAUCUACUUCUCCAUCUUGCACUGAUAACCUCCUCAUGCAAGUCCAGGAGCCAAUCACUGUGCUCCCACUGCUGCAGGAUCUGUUGGAGGGGGGUCGUUCAUACUUGACCA